UACGUAGGGUGCAAGCGUUGUCCGGAUUUAUUGGGUUUAAAGGGUGCGUAGGCGGCUUUGUAAGUCAGUGGUGAAAUACUCUAGCUUAACUAGAGGGGUGCCAUUGAUACUGCGGAGCUUGAGUACAGAUGAGGUAGGCGGAAUUGACGGUGUAGCGGUGAAAUGCAUAGAUAUCGUCAAGAACACCGACAGCGAAGGCAGCUUACUGGGCUGUAACUGACGCUGAUGCACGAAAGUGUGGGGAUCAAACAGG
rnacentral:rRNA from 1 species